rnacentral:rRNA from 1 species
GUAGGGAAUAUUGCGCAAUGGAGGCAACUCUGACGCAGCCAUGCCGCGUGCAGGAAGAAGGCGCUACGCGUUGUAAACUGCUUUUAACCGGGAAGAAACCCCAGGACGUGUCCUGGGUUGACGGUACCGGAGGAAUAAGCACCGGCUAACUUCGUGCCAGCAGCCGCGGUAAUACGAAGGGUGCAAGCGUUAUCCGGAUUCAUUGGGUUUAACGGGUGCGUAGGCGGAGCGUUAAGUCAGUGGUGAAAUCCUGCAGCUUAACUGUAGACUUGCCAUUGAUACUGGCGCUCUUGAGUGCGCUUGAAGUGGGCGGAAUGUGCCGUGUAGCGGUGAAAUGCUUAGAUAUGGCACAGAACACCAAUUGCGAAGGCAGCUCACUAAGGCGAUACUGACGCUGAGGCACGAAAGCGUGGGGAUCGAACAGGAUUAGAAACCCGUGUAGUCC